AACGAACGCUGGCGGCAGGCUUAACACAUGCAAGUCGAACGCAUCGCAAGAUGAGUGGCAGACUGGUGAGUAACGCGUGGGAACAUACCCUUUUCUACGGAAUAGCUCUGGGAAACUGGAAUUAAUACCGUAUACGCCCUACGGGGGAAAGAUUUAUCGGGGAAGGAUUGGCCCGCGUUGGAUUAGCUAGUUGGUGGGGUAAAGGCCUACCAAGGCGACGAUCCAUAGCUGGUCUGAGAGGAUGAUCAGCCACAUUGGGACUGCGACACGGCCCAAACUCCUACGGGAGGCAGCAGUGGGGAAUAUUGGACAAUGGGCGCAAGCCUGAUCCAGCCAUGCCGCGUGAGUGAUGAAGGCCUUAGGGUUGUAAAGCUCUUUCACCGAUGAAGAUAAUGACGGUAGUCGGAGAAGAAGCCCCGGCUAACUUCGUGCCAGCCGCCGCGGUAACAC
rnacentral:rRNA from 1 species